rnacentral:rRNA from 1 species
UACGGAGGGAGCUAGCGUUGUUCGGAAUUACUGGGCGUAAAGCGCACGUAGGCGGCUUUGUAAGUUAGAGGUGAAAGCCCGGAGCUCAACUCCGGAAUUGCCUUUAAGACUGCAUCGCUUGAAUCCAGGAGAGGUGAGUGGAAUUCCGAGUGUAGAGGUGAAAUUCGUAGAUAUUCGGAGGAACACCAGUGGCGAAGGCGACUCGCUGGUCUUUUGCUGACGCUGAGACGCGAAAGCGUGGGGAGCAAACAGG